GUACACUCCUACGGGAGGCAGCAGUGGGGAAUUUUGGACAAUGGGCGAAAGCCUGAUCCAGCCAUGCCGCGUGCAGGAUGAAGGCCUUCGGGUUGUAAACUGCUUUUGUACGGAACGAAACGGCCUUUUCUAAUAAAGCGGGCUAAUGACGGUACCGUAAGAAUAAGCACCGGCUAACUACGUGCCAGCAGCCGCGGUAAUACGUAGGGUGCAAGCGUUAAUCGGAAUUACUGGGCGUAAAGCGUGCGCAGGCGGUUAUGUAAGACAGUUGUGAAAUCCCCGGGCUCAACCUGGGAACUGCAUCUGUGACUGCAUAGCUAGAGUACGGUAGAGGGGGAUGGAAUACCGCGUGUAGCAGUGAAAUGCGUAGAUAUGCGGAGGAACACCGAUGGCGAAGGCAAUCCCCUGGACCUGUACUGACGCUCAUGCACGAAAGCGUGGGGAGCAAACAGGAUUAGAAACCCCGGUAGUCCCAUGAU
rnacentral:rRNA from 1 species